UCGGCGGUGGCUGUUCAGCCCUCAAGCGUAGUAGAAUACACCUCGCUUUGGAGUGGUUGGCGUCGCCCGCCGGACGAACCUUCUGAACUUUUCUCAAGGUUGACCUCGGAUCAGGUAGGGAUACCCGCUGAACUUAAGCAUAUCAAUAAGCGGAGGAA
rnacentral:rRNA from 1 species